UACGUAGGGCGCAAGCGUUGUCCGGAAUUAUUGGGCGUAAAGAGCUCGUAGGCGGUUUGUCGCGUCUGUCGUGAAAGCUUGGGGCUUAACCCUAAGUCUGCGGUGGAUACGGGCAGGCUAGAGGCAGGUAGGGGAGAACGGAAUUCCCGGUGUAGCGGUGAAAUGCGCAGAUAUCGGGAGGAACACCGGUGGCGAAGGCGGUUCUCUGGGCCGAUACUGACGCUGAGGAGCGAAAGCGUGGGGAGCGAACAGG
rnacentral:rRNA from 1 species